GCGGAAGUGGCUCAGUUGGUAGAGCAUCACCUUGCCAAGGUGAGGGUCGCGGGUUCAAAUCCCGUCUUCCGCU
rnacentral:tRNA from 1 species